rnacentral:tRNA from 1 species
GGAGUUGUGGCUCAGCGGUAGAGCACUCGCCUAGCACAUGUGAGGCCCUGGGUUCGAUUCUCAGCACCA